AAAUUGAAGAGUUUGAUCAUGGCUCAGAUUGAACGCUGGCGGCAGGCCUAACACAUGCAAGUCGAACGGUAACAGGAAGCAGCUUGCUGCUUCGCUGACGAGUGGCGGACGGGUGAGUAAUGUCUGGGAAACUGCCUGAUGGAGGGGGAUAACUACUGGAAACGGUAGCUAAUACCGCAUAAUGUCGCAAGACCAAAGAGGGGGACCUUCGGGCCUCUUGCCAUCGGAUGUGCCCAGAUGGGAUUAGCUAGUAGGUGGGGUAACGGCUCACCUAGGCGACGAUCCCUAGCUGGUCUGAGAGGAUGACCAGCCACACUGGAACUGAGACACGGUCCAGACUCCUACGGGAGGCAGCAGUGGGGAAUAUUGCACAAUGGGCGCAAGCCUGAUGCAGCCAUGCCGCGUGUAUGAAGAAGGCCUUCGGGUUGUAAAGUACUUUCAGCGGGGAGGAAGGGAGUAAAGUUAAUACCUUUGCUCAUUGACGUUACCCGCAGAAGAAGCACCGGCUAACUCCGUGCCAGCAGCCGCGGUAAUACGGAGGGUGCAAGCGUUAAUCGGAAUUACUGGGCGUAAAGCGCACGCAGGCGGUUUGUUAAGUCAGAUGUGAAAUCCCCGGGCUCAACCUGGGAACUGCAUCUGAUACUGGCAAGCUUGAGUCUCGUAGAGGGGGGUAGAAUUCCAGGUGUAGCGGUGAAAUGCGUAGAGAUCUGGAGGAAUACCGGUGGCGAAGGCGGCCCCCUGGACGAAGACUGACGCUCAGGUGCGAAAGCGUGGGGAGCAAACAGGAUUAGAUACCCUGGUAGUCCACGCCGUAAACGAUGUCGACUUGGAGGUUGUGCCCUUGAGGCGUGGCUUCCGGAGCUAACGCGUUAAGUCGACCGCCUGGGGAGUACGGCCGCAAGGUUAAAACUCAAAUGAAUUGACGGGGGCCCGCACAAGCGGUGGAGCAUGUGGUUUAAUUCGAUGCAACGCGAAGAACCUUACCUGGUCUUGACAUCCACGGAAGUUUUCAGAGAUGAGAAUGUGCCUUCGGGAACCGUGAGACAGGUGCUGCAUGGCUGUCGUCAGCUCGUGUUGUGAAAUGUUGGGUUAAGUCCCGCAACGAGCGCAACCCUUAUCCUUUGUUGCCAGCGGUCCGGCCGGGAACUCAAAGGAGACUGCCAGUGAUAAACUGGAGGAAGGUGGGGAUGACGUCAAGUCAUCAUGGCCCUUACGACCAGGGCUACACACGUGCUACAAUGGCGCAUACAAAGAGAAGCGACCUCGCGAGAGCAAGCGGACCUCAUAAAGUGCGUCGUAGUCCGGAUUGGAGUCUGCAACUCGACUCCAUGAAGUCGGAAUCGCUAGUAAUCGUGGAUCAGAAUGCCACGGUGAAUACGUUCCCGGGCCUUGUACACACCGCCCGUCACACCAUGGGAGUGGGUUGCAAAAGAAGUAGGUAGCUUAACCUUCGGGAGGGCGCUUACCACUUUGUGAUUCAUGACUGGGGUGAAGUCGUAACAAGGUAACCGUAGGGGAACCUGCGGUUGGAUCACCUCCUUACCUUAAAGAAGC
rnacentral:rRNA from 2 species